rnacentral:SRP_RNA from 1 species
UGGCGGGUCUUAGGCGGGGGGCUAGGGGUCCCUUGAGAAGCUUACGCUUCGACCGUAAACCCUCUAUACGACGGGCUAACAGCCUAGGUGAGGCGUCAAAGAUCGUCAAGUUCCUCUAGCUCUCUAACCAUGAGUAUCCGUUCCUUGGGGCUGGCGGUCGUGGAGCGGCUUUCGUAGGGAAGCCGUGGACCGCGUUUGCCAGGCAAACCUAGCCAGGCCCGGGAGGGAGCAACCUAAGCUUGAACGUUCAGCGCUCAGGGGAGUGCGGGUAUGAGCAAAGAGGUUAGAGGGCUCGGCGAAAACUGGGCGUCCAGCCUCGGUGACCCGCCG